rnacentral:rRNA from 1 species
UACGGGGGGGGCAAGCGUUGUUCGGAAUUACGGGGCGGAAAGGGUUCGUAGGUGGCCUGCUAAGUCAAACGUGAAAUCCCUCAGCUUAACUGGGGAACUGCGUCUGAGACUGGUGGGCUUGAGUGCAGGAGAGGAACGCGGAAUUCCAGGUGUAGCGGUGAAAUGCGUAGAUAUCUGGAGGAACACCGGUGGCGAAGGCGGCGUUCUGGACUGCUACUGACACUGAGGAACGAAAGCCAGGGGAGCAAACGGG